AUUGAACGCUGGCGGCAUGCCUUACACAUGCAAGUCGAACGGUAACAGGUUAAGCUGACGAGUGGCGAACGGGUGAGUAAUACAUCGGAACGUGCCCAGACGUGGGGGAUAGCUCGGCGAAAGCCGGAUUAAUACCGCAUAAGCUCUGAGGAGGAAAGCGGGGGACCGUAAGGCCUCGCGCGUUUGGAGCGGCCGAUGGCAGAUUAGGUAGUUGGUGGGGUAAAGGCUUACCAAGCCUACGAUCUGUAGCUGGUCUGAGAGGACGACCAGCCACACUGGGACUGAGACACGGCCCAGACUCCUACGGGAGGCAGCAGUGGGGAAUUUUGGACAAUGGGCGCGAGCCUGAUCCAGCAAUGCCGCGUGCAGGAUGAAGGCCUUCGGGUUGUAAACUGCUUUUGUACGGAACGAAAAGGCGCCUACUAAUAUUGGGUGUUGAUGACGGUACCGUAAGAAUAAGCACCGGCUAACUACGUGCCAGCCGCCGCGGUAAAAC
rnacentral:rRNA from 1 species